CUUUUGUAGUUCUCCUUCUCUGCUCUGAGUUCUGCUGUGCGUUCCUCUACAACUUACCCAAACCUCGAAGAGCAGUGAAACUAUGGCUACCGAACAUCCCCUUGCCUUUCUUCAAUCACGAGUGCUUCGUAUUCUCUUAGCCAUUUCAUUACUCGUGCUCCAAACAGUCGCUCUAGCUCAAGCACAAGCAGUAUCUCUCGAAGAAGCGACCGCACACGAUCUCCAACUUGCUUUCGGGCAAAACAAACUCACCUCGAGGCAGCUGACUAAGUUCUACCUCAACCGGAUUCGGAGGCUCAACCCGCUCCUCAGAGGUGUCAUAGAGGUGAACCCAGAUGCACUUUGCCAAGCCAAUAGAGCGGACCGAGAGCGUAAGGCGAAGCCAUAUGGCUCCCUAUCUGCCUUGCACGGGAUCCCCAUACUGCUCAAGGAUAAUAUAGCCACCAAAGACAAGAUGAACACCACGGCGGGCUCGUUCGCACUUCUUGGCUCUGUCAUGCCUCGUGAUGCUGGUGUGGUGGCUCGGCUGAGGAGGGCUGGGGCCGUGUUGCUGGGGAAGGCGAGCAUGAGCGAGUGGGCUCACUAUCGUUUUUCUGGUAAUAACAGUGGAUGGUGUGCCAGGAGCGGCCAGGGAAAGGUCAGCCAAACAACCGAUCCACUUUUCUAUUCUGGUCUAUCUUCGCAAGGUUUAACAAUUCAAAUGCUUUAGUGUGAGGCUAUUAAUUUAAUCGAACCUGCAUACUUAGCGUUGCAUUUUGUGAAAAAUAUUCGGAAAGCACAUGUGCCACAGGGAUAAAUCAUUUCAAGAAUAUGCUGGAAAUAUUAAAAACAUGCGCUAGAGAGUGCGCCAUGAUAUCUGCCUUUGAAGCACCUGAGCUGUUUGUCCUAGAAGAGGCAGAUUCCACAAAAUAAUAGAAGGAAAACCCCCUUUGAAUCUAUUUAUCUGAUGACUAAAGUUAAUGCAUAUGAACACAGAAUCCAUACAAUCUAUCAGCUACUACUUGUGGGUCAAGUAGUGGGUCGGCCAUAUCCGUGGCAGCGAAUAUGGGGGCGGUGUCAUUGGGAACAGAGACGGACGGCUCAAUCUUGUGUCCAUCCAGUUUUAACUCGUUGGUGGGCAUCAAACCCACCCUCGGCUUGACGAGCCGAGGUGGGGUUGUCCCCAUCACUCCCAGACAGGACACUGUUGGGUGAGUCGAGGUGAAAUACGUCCACACUCUUUAUACUCACGGAGAUUACUCCAGACGUAUUAAUCACUGUGUGUGGGAUCUUGCAGGCCAAUGUGUAGGACUGUCGCAGAUGCCGUCAAUGUCCUCGAUGUCAUUGUAGGAUUCGAUCCUUAUGAUGCUAAAGCCACUAGAGAAGCGUCCAAAUACAUCCCGAGAGAGGGCUACAAGCAAUUUCUCAAAGCCGAUGGGCUCAAAGGCAAGAGACUCGGAAUCGUGAAAGCUUUCUUCGACUUCUACUCAGGAACUCCGGUCACCAAAGCAUUUGAAAGCCAUUUUAACACCCUGAGGUAGUUAAUAGAGAUAUUAAUACCCAUUAGUUCCUCAAGUUUGGAAUGAAUUACUUUUGACAUAUAAUAUAUGCAUAUAUUCCUUUCUUGGACAGGAAACAAGGCGCAGUAUUGGUGGACCACUUGGAAUUAGCCUACAUCGAUUUCUUCUCUUACAGUAGUGAAAGAGUAGCGAUAUCAGCCGAGUUCAAGCUGGCCCUGAAUACUUACCUUCAAGAUUUGGUUGUCUCACCAGUCCGAUCCCUUGCAGAUGUAAUUGCCUUCAACAACAAGCACAAGCAUGUGGUGAGUUAGUACUAUCACAUAGCAAUUUAUAUCACCGUCUUCGUUCUAGUCGAAAUUAUGUAGAAUCACAUGAUGUUCGGGGAACAUGUAGCAGAAUCAAGCAGGAGGGCAGAGACCUCUCACUGGGAAGCGCUGAAUAAUUUCUCGUUUUUACACGAUCUGCAACUUACAAUACAGAUAACAUAGAACAAUGUGAAUUAAUUACGCUUAAGUACUCCAUUUUAGUUACAAAAAUGGCUGUUCUUGCAGGAAAAGAUCGAUGAGUAUGGUCAGGACUUGUUCGUCGAAGCGCAAGCCACAAAUGGGAUCGACAAGACUGUGAAAUCAGCAUGGCGAAACAUGACCAGAUGGAGCCGAGACGGGUUUGAGAAGCUGAUGAGACAGAACAAGUUGGACGCAUUGGUGACUCCUGAAAAUAUAGUGUCAACGGUUCUUGCGAUCGGGGGCUUCCCAGGAAUAAACGUUCCUGCUGGAUAUGACGAGGAUGGAGUGCCCUUUGGGAUUUGCUUCGGAGGCUUGAGAGGCUCUGAGCCUACACUCAUUGAAAUCGCUUAUGGGUUCGAGCAAGCCACCAAGAUCAGGAGGCCUCCUACGUUCCUGCGGUGACUCGCCUGUGAUUAUCGAGUCAAUGUAUUUGUAUCUCGGUCCGAGCUCCUGCACGUGCGGUAGCUUCUCUGUUAUUGGAUUAGAUCGAAGCGAUGAAGCAGCAAAGGAAUAAGCAGCCACGCUCAUAUCGACCGGCGGGGAAUGAAAGGUUUUAAAGAUUAAGAAGUGAGAUUGUCGAACAAUAAGGAUUUAUAUUGCGGUGUUCACUCAUUCCUAUUCUUUCAUCCAUACAUGCAACCAUCGAAGCCUUCAUCACAACUUCUCUGCCAAAACAAGAUGUGGAGCACGUCAAUUAAAAUAAUUCAAGUUAUGGGAACAUUGACAAUUAUGUGACGUGGACAUCGACAGCUAUGCAAUACGGUCAUUGACAACAACGCAAUACACAUGCAAUCAAAAGAGAAAAAAUUGUCCAAAAUAUUCUAAACUUAUUAUACUUUUGUCAAUUCAGUUCUAAACGUUUCAUUCUUGUCAGGUGAAUCCUAAACAUUUUCACUUUUUACCUAGUCCAAUAUGUCUUUUUUGGCUUGAAAUCGUUGACAUAGAUGCUGGCAGCAACCAUGUGAACGACCGGCGCUAAUGUGAACAAUUUUUAAUAUUUUAAUAUUUUUCGAUUUUUAGUUAUUUUUAUUUACUUUUUUUCCUCUUCUCUUUUUUUUUUUCUUUCUUUUCCCUCCAUCAAACCUUGUUGCCUACCUCAGACGAGGGGGGUAGCCGUCACUUGAGGCCAACAACCUCUUCCGGCCAUCAAUGAGGUUCAACGGUGGCUGGUAGAGGAAAAAGAAAAAAAUAAAAAAUAAAAUAUAAAUAAAAAAGGCAUUAGAAUUCGGAAAAAAAUAUUUUAAUAUUAUCUACGUCAGUAUCGGUCGUACCAUGUAUAAUGGUCAGUAUCCACUUCAACGAAUUCCAACCAAGAUUGGCCGAAUGGACUCAAUGGGCAAAAAGUGAAAAGAUUUAGGAUUCAAUUAGCAAAAUUGAAAUGUUUAUGACUGAAUUUAAAAAGUGCAUUACGUUUAGGAAUUUUUGGACAAUUUACCAAGUCGAAAGAUGUGCAGUAAGCAUCAUGACUCAUCAACGAAGCAUACGAAGUGUCACACCCCAAAUUCUAUAUGGAUGAGAGAGUAACAUAGUUGUCCUUUCUUCAAAGGACACAAUUGCAAAUUAUACCCUAAAUGUCUAGCUUCCAAUAGUUCCUAUGAUAAUGCUUUCGCUUUAUCAAUACUAACUAAAGCACUUGAAAAACAUGAUAAGAAGAAAGAAAUAAGCUACCACAGCUUAUUGAAUGAUACACUUUUUUCUAAGUAGAUUGAGCAAUUAUUAUGCACAUCUAAAACACAAACAUAACUCACUUUCACCAAACUCAAAAUUUAGCUAACCUUCAAGGCCAAAAUGCAAUAUUUAAAAUACUCAAGAUGAUAACAAAGCAAACACCAAUGGUCCAAUUCAUUGGUCAAUCUCAUAAUAACACACGCCAAUAGUCUAUUACAUUGGCCAAACUCAUGUUCAAGUAUCUAGCUAUAAUCACGCAUAACACUCGUAAUAAGACGACCAAAAUUUCCCCCUUAGUUAGGUUUCCAUCUAUUAAGUCGGUGGCUUGGCCAUAAGGAUAUCCUAGACCACUAUGAGUAUACAUAUCCACAUACCCCUCAAUGGGUUCACAAAGACAUGGAGCAUAAAUCAUCAAACUCAAUCUCUAGUAAUCCACAACCAAAAUUAGAAACCGUCUCAUAAUUUAGGUUUAAUAAUCAAAUCACAACUUUUCACCAUCAUAAUUCAAAUAUCAAUGAUCAAGUAUAUUGAUUAAUCUUUAUUAAAUCACAUUUUUAAAUAUUACAAUACGUUUCCCAAACUAUUUCAAACUCAAUUUCGUAAACCAAUCAAUUUCGUAAACCAAUUCACGAAUCAGUAUAUAACCUUUCAUAAAGCAUAGUUAAAAUCAAGAACUUAUUAUAAUUCUUUCCCAUAAGGUUUUGCAAAUUCUUUUGCAAGCAAUCCAUUUAGACUAGAAUCAAAUGAUAACAUUUUCACAUUCAAUGCGCAAAUAGUAGUAAAUACUUGAUCCAAUUUAUACAAAGAAUAUGCUCAUUGUUAACUCAUAACAUAACUAAUUAAUUUCACUUUCAAGAAAUGAGUUUACAAACUCAAAGAGAAAGAGUAUUACACACUUGAGAAAAGCCGAAAAUCAAUUUAUGGUGGUUACUCGAGCCUAAUACCAAUGUGGAGAUCUAUGCUUCGAAUUAGGGAAAACCAGGUCAGUUGUAGUAGGUAUGCCAUCGCACAAUGGAAUAAAAAAAAAAUUAAGUUCCAUCUUAUUGGCCAUCUAAUAUGGCAUCUUUUUCGCAGAUGGCCAAAUUUAAUCAGAAACAGAUUCCUCAUCUCUAGCUGCUUCGAUGGGUCGAAUGGUUGGUAUUCUUUUGAAACCAAACACAUUGUGGACAAAAAGAAAUGUGCUUACCGAUUUCCUCUCUAGACCAAAGGCAAUAGUAGAAAUCAACAUGUACAUUGUAAGGCAUCAUUUUCCCCAGUCAAAAAAGUAUAAAAUUGAAAGAAUACAAGACUGGCCAAGCCUGGAAUAUUCCCAGGAGAUUAUUGAACAAAUUUAGAAUGACAGCCUCACUAAAUAACUCGAUAGCCUCAUGUAGCAAUGUUACAUAGAUCUAUUUAGAUUUCAUGGAGGUUCAAUUCUUUAUCAUAUUAGGUUUGAACAUUUAUGUCCUAUUUGAAUUGAGAUGUAGAUACUAGCCCCUCCUUUUUCCUUGCUAUCCUAUACUGCAAGCUCUGCCCCAAGUUACUCUUCAACUUUACCCAAACCUCCAAGAGCAUUUAAACUAUGGCUACAGAACUUCCCCUUGCCUUUUACCAAUCACGAGGGCUCCUUAUUCUCAUAGCCACUGAAUUAGUGGAGCACCCAACUGCCGCUCUGGCUUGAACGCUCUCUCUCUCGAAGAAGCGAGCGCAUGCGAUCUCCAACUUGCUUUUAGGCAAAACAAGCUCACCUCGAGGCAGCUGACUAAGUUCUACCUCUACCGAAUUCGGAGGCUCAACCUGCUCCUCAGAGGGGUCAUUGAAGUUAACCUGGAUGCACUGCACCAAGCCAAUAGAGCGGAGCGAGAGCGUAAGGCGAAGCCAUAUGGCUUGCUCUCCAUCUUGCACUGGAUCCCUGUACUGCUCAAGGAUAACAUAGCCACCAAAGACAAGAUGAACACCAUGGCGGGCUCGUUCACGCUUCUCGGCUCGAUUGUGCCUUGGGAUGCUGGUGUGGUGGCUCGGCUGAGGAGCGCCGGAGCCGUGUUGCUGGGGAAGGCGAGCUUGAGCGAGUGGGCUCACUAUUGCUUUUCUGGUGGACAAUGGAUGGUGUGCCAAGAGCGGCCAGGGAAAGGUCAGCCAAACAACCGAUCCACUUUUCUAUUCUGGUCUAUCUUUGCAAGGUUUAACAAUUCAAAUGCUUUCGUGUGAGGCUAUUAAUUUAAGCGAACCUCCAUACUUAUUUGCAUUUCGUGAAAAGAUUCGAAUUGUGCUGGGCUUGAGCUGUUUGUCCUAGAAGAGGCAAGACUCGACAUAAUAAUAUAAGGAUUAAGGAAAGCCUCCGUUGGAUCUAUUUCCCUGACGCAUGACAUUAAUGAACAGAAUCCAUACAAUCUAUCAGCGGAUCCAUGUCGGGUCAAGCAGCGGGUCGGCCGUAUGCAUGGCAGCAAAUAUGGGGGCGGUGUCGCUAGGAACCGAGACGGACGGCUCAAUCUUGUGUCCCUCCAGUUCUAACUCAGUGGUGGGCAUCAAACCCACCGUUGGCUUGGCGAGCCGAAGUGCGGUCAUCCCGCUCACUCCCAGACAGAACACCGUUGGGGAAGUUGUGGCGAAAUACAGCGACACUCAUUUAUAUUCACAGAAAUUACUGCAAACAUGUAAACCGCUGCAUGUGGGAUCUCUCAGGCCAAUGUGUAGGGCUGUUGCAGAUGCCGUCAGUGUCCUCGAUGACAUCGUAGGAUUUGAUCCUUCCGAUGCUGAAGCUAUGAGAGAAGCAUCGAAGUACAUCCCGAGAGGGGCCUACGGGCAAUUUCUCAAACCCAACAGGCUCGAAGGCAAGAGACUUGGAAUCUUGAGAAGCCCUUACCACUUCCGCUCUGGAUCUCUGGUCACCAACGCAUUUGAGAGCCAUCUUAACAUCUUGAGGUAGUUGAGAGUGAUAUUAGUACCCAUGAGUUCCUUAAUAUGGAAUCAAUGAUGGGAUAAUGACAUAAAUGGUUCUUAAAUUUUAGCUAAAUGUUCAAUAUAGUCCUGAAUUUCUAAUUUAUUUAAUGUAAUCCCUCAACUCUAGCUUAAUGUGCAAUGUGGUCCUCAAACUUUUAAUUUGUUCAAUAUAGUCCUUGAACUACAUGGAAAAAUUCAAUAUUGUACUUCCAUUAAUUCAAGUUAAGAGAUAAUAUUGAAUAUAUACAUAGUUUAUGGACUAAAUCGAACAUGUACCAAAGUCUAGGGACCAUAUUGAACAAAUUAGAAGUUCAUGAACCACAUUACACAUUUGACCAAAGUUCAAUGAUUAUUUAUCUCAUUUUCCUAUCAAUCAUUAUAACAGAUAUUAUACGCAUAUAUUUUCAUUCCUUUAAUAAAUAGGAAACAAGGUGCAGUAUUGUUGGACCGCUUGGAACUGGCCAACAUCGAUGGAAUCUACUAUGAUUGGGGUGAGCGUGUGGUGAUAUCGGCCGAGUUCAAGCUAGACCUGAAUACUUACCUUCAAGAUUUGGUUGCCUCACCAGUCCGAUCCCUGGCAGAUGUAAUUGAAUUCAACAACAAGCACAAGCACGUGGUGAGUUAGACCUAUCGGAACUCAAUUCAUUUCACCAUCUUUUAAUCGAGAUACUAAAAUCACAGAAUGUUUGGGGAACAUGAAGCAGAAGCAAGCAAGAGGGCAGAGAUUCUUACUAGGGAUACGCUGAAUAAUCGCUCGUUUUUACACCAUCCGCAGCUUACAUGCAUAGAUAUCAUCGAACAUGGUGCAUAAAAUACGGGCAAGUAGUCCAUGUGAGCGGGGAGAUGCGAACCUUGCAGUUUUCCGAUCAACCAUGCUACCCUGUUUAACUCUUUUAAGUUUUAGUCACCAAACUGGCCGUACUUGCAGGAGAAGAAUGACGAGUUUGGCCAGGAUUUGUUCCUUGCAGUGCAAGCCAGGAAAGGGAUCGAUGGGGCCAUGAAAUCGAAUCAUGGACAGAUUGAGCCGAGACGGGUUUGAGAAGCUGAUGAGGCAGAACAAGUUGGAUGCAGUGGUGACUCCUCGUCAUCUAAUCAGGCGGGUUCUUGCGAUCGGAGGCUUCCCAGGAAUGAGCGUGCCUGCUGGAUAUGACGAGGAUGGAGUGCCCUUGGGAUUUGCUUCGGGGGCUUGGAAGGCUCUGAGCCCACGCUCAUUGAGAUCGCUUUCGGCUUUGAGCAAGCCACCAAGAUCAGGAGGCCGCCUUCGUUCAUGCAGGGAUCGCUAUGAUUUUCGAAUUAAUCAAAAUAUGUAUCUCAGUCCCCACUCUCGCGUGUGUAGUAGCUUCUCUGUUUGAAUUUAAUGUGAAUGUGAUGAAUUCUGCAAUUCAAGCAUGCACCGGAGGAUUGAGUCGGGGAUACAAGCAGUUCUCCUUCAAUGGAAAAUGUUUGCUGCGUCUUUAGCCACUGAAACUGAUGGUUCCAUCAUCUGCCAAAGUUCGCUCAUAUUUCAACUUUGAAAUCCUCUAUCGUCGCUGGAGAAAUCGCAGGCCGUGUAUCCAAAUCUCAGAGUUGGAUAAGCAAGAGUGUCUUGUCUAUACACUUGCGAUCUGAGAACACUUCGACAGAGGAUGAUUCUUCACUGCAGACUAACGUCGUAACAUAUAAUGGACUUAGGAUCUCGCAAUUAUCAUCGCGUUUGUUUUUUUAAUUCUUAGGAUAAAAUAUGUUUUUUAAUUGGAAAAUUAACUUUCAGAUUGGAGUUUAUUGAAUGUAAAUUCAACUACACCAAACGUGUAACAAUUGGGCCAAAGAAAAGAACGAAAAGCCUAAGCCCAUUUUAAUUUAAUAUAAGAGUGACAAAAUCAGCUCCUCCUUUCUGCGGGGAAGUCGUGAAAGAACAGAAGAAUUUUUGGUCGGGAAUUUCAUAUUAAUAUAUUAAUACAUUUCGUGGCGAUCUCGGUAUGUUAAGAUUGUAAAAUCAAAUUGUUAAGCGAGACAUAAUUUACUUUUCAUAGAUUGAAGUAAUAUGUGUGAAUUUCAUAAUCGCAGCUUGUGAACUUCUAAAUAAAAACAUAUGAUCUUACUUAAAAAUUUUGUGGAACUAGUAAAUAUGGUCAAUUUUAGUUAUAGUUUUCUUUGAAAUGAUAUGAUGCGAGGAAAGUCACUAAGUCAUUGAUCUAAGAAGCGAAAAGUUUAAGUGAUGAUCCUUUAAGUUGAGAAUAUGGGAUCCAUUGAAUUUAAUGGAAACCGGAUAAGUUCUUAUAUUGGUGAUCUAGGAAGUUAUGUGCAUUCAAUAUUAAGCGAUGAUCUUUUAAUUGGUGUAUUCUUUAUUGAGAACUGUGGUUUUAAGAUAAGUUCUUGUCCUAGAAAUCUCUUAUCUUUGAGAGAACGAUGGUAAAUUGACUUGGGAGACAAUUGAGAUUAGAAUGUGAAGAAGUGGAUCUUUAUCUCAGUGUAACGAGGGGAAUUAUAGUCGUUAUUUCAAUAUAGUGGUACUCUGGAUAUAUUAACGGUUAAUUAUUCUAGUAUGCUGGAUACAUUAGCUACAGAUGACCUAGGCAGGGACAGUGUAAAACAAGGCCCUUCUGCAAAUAUCCGGGGAAUGUCUCAAAAUAUGUUAUGUCUGCAUCCAUGUCCCAGUGACAAGUCAACCAAGUUUUGAUGAUUUUCAACAGUUACAAGGCACUUGUGCUUGUCUCACUUUUCCCAAUCCAUGAUGUGUCUGAGUAUCUUGCUUCUUUUCCCUUUCUUAUUGAAAGGGCACGCGUGUUUCACAUUUUGUUGCUUUUCUUACCUCCAUUAUUCAGCCAUAUUCUUGCAUCUUGACGUGCACGCAGAAGGAGGACCGUUGCCUUUGGCAGGAGGGUCUUGAGUAGUGUGACCGAACCAUGUCAUCAUUUAGCAACGCCCAUUGGGAAAGACACCAUUAGAAGUCGCAAGGUUUAUGCUGAUAACCAAUGAAUUCAUGCGGGUCACCAUAAUCACAGCCACCUCUUUCUUCGUGUAAGUUAGCUUUUUCCCUCCCUAAAUGAGGAAUGACAUAUCCCCUCCUAAUUCUGAUGAGCGGAUCUCGGUUUUUUCCUUUUUAUCCUUAAUUAAGUUCGUUCUGCUGGUGUUUACACUAAAAAAUAGCCGACUCUUUGUCUAUGACAAACAAUGGAAUUUUGAUCGAUAUUGUGAGGUAGGUUAAUGAAAAUAAUUCAAGUUAUGGAAACAUUGACAAUUAUGCAACGUCGACAUCGAUGGCCAAGCAAUAUACAAGACAUCGAAAGAUGUGCAGCAAUCAUCAUGACUCAUCGACAUAGCAUAUAAAGAGUUAGCUAUAUUAAAAUUUGACCAAGUGUUGGGGGCAAAAGAGGAGAACGCAUAGAUCUGGAUGUCGAAGAGAAGCAAAAAUACCGAGUGACGGUUAAGCAUCCAAUGAUGUUGGAAGAUGUAACUUCUUGUCGAUGACAAUUGCCAACAUACAAAUAGCAUGCCGGAAACUUCGGGCAUUUGCACUUGUAAUUGCACUUAGAGUGAUAACCCCUGUUGUAAUUGUCAUAGUGGGCUAUAGAUAUAUAUGUCUUUCAUUGUGAAAAAAACAUCAUUACAGAUGCCGAUUUCUAAUAUAUCUAUUGAAUGUGUUAAUUUCUAGUCUUUCAUUUCCAGAGUUUAUCAUUUACUUUUAGUAAUUUUAUUGUCCUUCUAUUUCAUUUUUAGCUUUAAAAACGCUAUACACUUUCUUAUUCAAAAUUGCCACAAAACCCAUUUCCAUAAAAACCAAGAAUCCAACUUUUUCAAGAAGGAUCUUUCAUCAUUUGGAUAACCAUCCCAAUUUCGAUGAAACGGCUGGAUGCAUCUGAUUGAUAUAAGCAAAAAAUCAGAUCACAACAGGAAAAUCCAAGUCUUCACCAACACUGCCUUUAGCCAUGCCAAAGCAAAUCGAAAGCAACUUCAUUCAACGCUAGCUCACUCUUCUUCCAUCUCCUUAAAUGAACAGAGGGGUCUCCUAUUUAUAGAGGGAAUGGGAGCAGCCUUUGAUUCUCAUGAUUGCUCCUAAUUAGUCAAAAUAGAAGAUCGUAUGUCCGAAAUCGGUAUUCUAAUCAACAUAUGGUAUAAACAUAUACUAAAUCAUUUUUGAAUUUGGUCGGUAUUGAUGAAUGCUAAUGUGAUUUAGCUCAUCCAAUUGACUAACUUCUUCACUCAAGUUUCAUAGUUUCAUCACAAAUACAUUUCCUAAUUUGGUUGGACGGUUACACUUGCAAACAAACAAGGAUGAGAACCCAAAUAUCGAUGCAGAAUUAUAUAUUAGACUUAGAGAUUCUGCUGUCUAUAAGUACAUUGAAAAGCUACAUUAUAAAUAAGCCAUGUGAGUGAGGAAUAUAAUUUAAAGUACUUUCUUUGGUGCAUUUAAAAAACUACAUAGAAAAAACUGUGGUUUUGGGUGGACCGACUGAUGCUAUCAAGGGCACUCGAUACAAUGAUCACAGUCCUGUUGAGUAUUGUCUAUGUUGCAUUUUGUUUCCGUACUUGAUGCAUUAUUGAAAAGGAAAGAGAAUAUGCUCCUUUAAUAUAAAAAUCUUUUGUUGCACUCAUUUAUCUUAAAGAUGAGGAACCAAAUUGAGUCAAACUAUAGGGAUUCGUACCAUUCAUAGUAGGGGUUAUCAGGUCUAGGAUGGAUAGGUUACCCGACCCUGUUAUAACCGGUUCCCCUUUUCUAGACCAUGAACCCAAUCCUGUUUGCACUGAACCCUAUUUUGGAACCAUCCUAUUUUUCCGAUCUGAUUCCAAGGUUAAUCCUGUUUCCACUUAAACCUAUUUUGCAACCGCCCAAUAUUCUAUACAACUUCGAAUUUUACAUUAAUACGCGAAAAAAUAGCAUAAUCCUCUUAAUUUGUGUUGAAACAUUAAGCACAUAUAAUCAAUAACUACAUAAAUUUUUGACUUAAUAAGGAAGAGGAAUGAGGAAGGAGGAGCACCAUGUGAGAGGGAAAACGCAAUUCUAAGAUUAGAAAUCAAGGAAAACAAAGAUAGGGAUUUGGAACUUUGGGCUUACAAAACUGGUUCCCAGACAAACUCGGUCGAUCACCUUCCCAAGUGGGUAUUCAUUCGGAACCGGUUCCCAGACUGAUUUCAAUGGGAAUCGGUUUCGGAUCCUGUUUUCCGGAUGGACUAGUCCAAUUUCCUAGUAUAUUCGGUCUAGUUGCACACCCCUAAUUCAUAUGGAAUAAUGUCCUAAUUUCAUCAAAUUUUUGUCACGUGAUGCAUUUGUCAUACCUCAACUCCAACAAGUAUAGAGAAAUGACAUGGCCUUCUAUCAAACGUGACACAUUGUCUCCUCGUUUUUUAUGUUAUUUUCUUCCUUUCUUUUUCAAGCCAAUCCUUUUUUAUUAGUCAACUUACUUCUUCUUUUUUUACACCAAUGGUUACAAUGUCACUCUCUUAAGUGUGAACAUUUGAGAUCCCGCACCUCGCUUUCUCUUUCAUUUGUAUUUGCAUCUUUUGUUUUGUCUUCUUACCUCUUGCAGAGCGCAGGACUCGAACCGGACGGCUUCCCUCCCCACCCCCUCAAAGCCCAUGUCACUGGGCACAUUACUCGUCUUUAUCCUACUACUUGUAGAGCGCAAGAUUCGAACGGUGAUAAUUAAACCCCGCUAAAAAAAAAAAAAUGCCACUACCCACGUGGCCUAAUGGUAUGUGCUUGAUUAAAUUCUAUUUGAAUUGAGGAAUGGAAACUUGCCCCUUGUGUUGUUCUCCUACUCUUCUGUGAGUUAAACCCUGACUUUCUCUGACAACUUACCCAAACCCCAAAGAGCAGCGAAACUAUGGCUACCGAACCUCCACUUGCCUUCUCUCAAUCACGAGUGCUUCUUAUUCUCUUAGCCAUGGCAUUAGUCAUGUUCCGAACAGUCACUUUGAAUAGUCCCUCUCGAAGGUAAAAAUUUAUAUUUUUGUUAAUUCAAUCCUAAAUUUUUAAAUUUUUUCAAUUUAAUCAUGAACAUUUUCACUUUUUGUCAAUUCAGUCAUAAAUUUUUUACUUUCGAAAUAUAUUGGAUUUCAAAUGUUCACACCUAAGAGAGUGAUAGUAUAACCAUUGGUCAAAAAUGGAAAAAAGGUGAGUUGACUGGUAAAAAAGGAGGGGCUUGAAAAGGAAAGGAAGAAAAAACAUGAAAAAAGGAGGAGACGGGUACAAUACGUGUACCAUGUCUGCAAUGUGCGAUAAGUGAGGACAAUCUCUAUUUUCUAAAUGAAGUAAAAAAAUUCAUCUGAUUUUUUCUUUAGUGAUCAAAAGACAAAUGGAGAGCUCAUAUGGUGUGAUAUCCCAUUGAAUAGCACCAAUUUCAAUUUUCUUUGAAUGCAAUUGAAGAGGCUUAAUGACUUGAUUUUAAAAAGAAUUGUACCGUAUUUGGUUCUUCACUUGAGCACAAUUUGAGGGCCUUAGUGGCUUGAUCUCGAAUCAGAUAGCACAAUCUGUGAUUUUUAUUUACGAACUGCAUUCAAGGACUUGAAGACUUGAUCUCAAAUCAGAUAGCGCAAUCUUUGAUUCAUUUUUAUGAACUGCAUUCAAGGAUUUGAAGGCUUGAUCUUAAAAUAUAAAAUGAUCGAGGUUUUGGUGAUCCGAAUAUCAGUGAGGUGUUAAUGACUUGUGUUUUGAAAUCUUGUAUGACCAAAAUUUGAAUGGAGAUCUUGAUGACCAAAAUUCGAUAGGUUUUGUGAAGUUCUUUAAUUUCCAAGAACUUCAUGAUAGCAAUUCCAUGGAAUUUAAAUUCGUCGUCCGUUUGCAUUUUGAGAAAUAUACUCGGAAAGUGCCGGGCUUUCUGGCACAUGUGCCUCAGGGUAACAUCACUGGCCAUUACAAGAAUCUUUGGGAAAUAGCUGCUCAAGAAGCACUCGGGCUGUUUGUCUAUGAAGAGGCAGAUUUAUAUUAUGCAUAUCGUUAAUGCAUACGAGCACAGAAUCCAUACAAUCUAUUAGCGCUAGCGGAUCCAUGUGAGUCAAGUAGUGGGUCGGCCGUAUCCGUGGCAGCGAAUAUGGCGGCGGUGUUGCUGGGAACAGAGACGGACGGCUCAAUUUUGUCUCUCUCCAGUUCUAACUCUGUGGUGGAAAUCAAACCCACCCUUGGCUUGCCAGGUGGAGGUGGGGUUGUCCCCGUCGCUCCCAAACAAGACAGUAUAGGGUAAAUCGUCGUGAAAAACUGCGACACUCUUUAUAUUCACGUAAAUUACUCCAAAAAUGUGAACCAUGUAUGUUGGAUCUAUUAGGCCAAUGAGCAGGAUUGUUGCACGUACCAUCAAUGUCCUUGAUGUCACUAUAGGAUUCGAUCCUCGAUGCUAAAAUCACGAGAGAAGCAUCAAAAUACAUCCCGAGAUGGGGCUACAAGCGAUCUCUCAAAGUGGACGGGCUCAAAGGCCAGAGAAUUGGAAUCAUUAGGAACCCUUACUUUGACACCCUCUCAGGAUCUCUGGUCCCCAAAGCAUUUGAGAACCUUUUUAACACCCUGAUGUUUUAUAUUGAUAUUAAUACCCAUUAGUUCCUCAAGUUUGGAAUGAAUUAAAUGUUCGGCAGUGGGCUAUGGAAGACUCAAGAUGUCUAUAACUAGUAUAUAGUUAUAAGGUACAAUUUCAUAUUAUUUACUAUAUGAUUCAACUGUUCCGUUACGCAUUAUCGUUAACAUCUAUUUCUCAAGAAUAUUCUACAUAUAAUUGUUGCAAUGUAAACAAGCUCCAGUUAACUAAUGUGGCAAUCAUAUUUUUUUACAAGAAUCUUUUGGGAAUAUUAAAAAUCAUGCGCUAGUGAGGGCCCCAUGACAGGUGCUUAUGAAGCAUUUGAUCUGUCUGUAAUAGAAGAGGCGGAUUCGACAUAAUAAUGUAAGGAAAGCCUCCUUUGGAUCUAUUUACCUGAUCCUUAACAUUACUACAUAUGAACAGAAUCCAUACAAUUUAUCAGAGGAUCCUUGUGGGUCAAGUAGCGGGUCGGCCACAUCCGUGGCAGCGAAUAUGGGGGCGGUUUUGCUGGGAACAGAGACGGACAGCUCAAUCUUGUGUCCCUCCAGUUCUAACUCGGUGGUGGGCAUCAAACCCACCCUUGGCUUGACGAGCCGAGGUGAGGUUAUCCCCAUCACUCCUAGAGAGGACACUUCGGGUGAGUCGUGGUGAAACACAUUGACUUUUUAUACUUAUGCAAAUGACCCCAAACAUAUUAACAACUGUACGUGGGAUCUCUCAGGCCAAUGUGCAGGAUUGUUGCAGACGCGGUCGAUGCCUCGAUGUCAUUGUAGGAUUCGAUCCUUAUGAUGCUAAAGCCACCACAGAAGCAUCGAAGUACAUUCCCAGAGGAGGCUACAAGCGAUUUCUCAAAGCCGACGGGCUCAAAGGCAAGAGACUUGGAAUUGUUAACCUUUACUUCGACUUCUACUCAGGAACUCCGGUCGGCAAAGCAUUUGAAAGCCAUUUUAACACCCUGAGGUAGUAAAUAGUGAUAUUAAUGCCCAUUAGUUCCUCAAGUUUGGAACGAAUUACUUUGACAUAAAAUGUAUGCAUAUAUUUUCGUUCCUUUCUUGGACAGGAAACAAGGUGCAGUAUUGGUGGACCAUUUGGAUAUAGCCAACAUCAAUGAAAUCUACCCUAAUGCGAGUGGUGAAGAAGUAGCUAGUGCGGCCGAGUUCAAGCUAGCCCUGAAUACUUACCUUUGAGAUUUGGUCGUCUCGCCAGUCCGAUCCCUCGCGGAUGUAAUUGCCUUCAAUAACAAGCACAAGCACGUGGUGAGUUAGAACUAUCGCAUAGCAAUUUAUUUCACCAUCUUUUAAUCGACUCAAAAUUAUGUAGUCACAAAAUGUUCAGGGAACAUAUAGCAAAAUCAAGCAAGAGGGCAGAGAUCCUGUGAUGGCGCGGUGCGCAGGGAGAAGAGAUGGCGGUGCAUCCACGCCUCGGUCCCCGAACGUGCAUAGAGAGAGGGCAUAUCUCUUGUCCCAUAUCGCCUAGGGAGAGAGUCUUGAGCUACCUUAUAAGACAAUGGGCCUUUUAAAUGUAUACAUGCGUUUUCUUGGAAUAGUAUAAACUCUUCUGAGAAGAACAAAACCGUGAAGACGUCUACAUGUACAGUGGAGACUCAGCCUGUGGCCACCCAGGCGGCGGUGCGCGAGAAGGAGGGAUGGUCCCAACCGCCAGACGUGCGCAAGGAGGGGCGCGUCUUUUUUCCCACAUCGUCUAGGGAGGGAGUUUUGGGCUACCUUAUAAGAUAAUGGGCCAUCUAAUUGUAUACAUGCGUUUUUUUGGGAUAAUAUGAGCUGUUCUGAAAAAAACAAAACACUGUGAACUUAGUAUCCAAAGCAGACAAUAAGUGUACAGUGGAGAUGAGCUAUCCUGAAAAAAAACAAAACACUGAGAACUUAAUAUCCAAAGCAGAUAAUAAGUGUACGGUGGAGAUCCGGGCUGUUAUAGAUGAAUGUUUUCCAAUCAUGAUCAAUUUACCCUACCCUGUUUAACUCUAGGUUUUAGUCACCAAAAUGGCUGUUCUUGCAGGAAAAGAUCGACCAGUACGGCCAGAACUUGUUCCUCACAGCGCAAGCCACAUGGACAGAUUAAGCCGAGACGGGUUUGAGAAGCUUAUGAGGCAGAACAAGUUGGAUGCAUUUGUGACUCCUCUUGCGAUCGGAGGCUUCCCAGGAAUAAGCGUGCCUGCUGGGUACGACGAGAAAGGAGUGCCCUUCGGGAUUUGCUUCGGAGGCUUGAGAGGCUUUGAGCCUGCCCUCAUUGAAAUCGCUUACGGGUUCGAACAAGCCACCAAGAUCAGGAGGCCUCCUUCGUUCAUGCAGCGACCGCGAAGAUUUUUCAGUUAAUAUACCUGUAUCUCGGUCCGGAGUAUUGCGUGAGUGGUGCUUCUCUAUUACUGGAUUAGAUCCAAAAGUGAUGAAGGAACGAAGAAAUAAGCAGUCAGAUUCAUGCCGGCUGGCAGGGAAUAAAAAUUUCAAAGAUUAAGAGGCGAGACUGUCAAUCAAUAGCGAUUUAGAAUUUGGUACUUCUGGUGACAUGGCUGCAAGUUAACUUGGCUAUGUAUAGGGAGAGCAUUCAAUCCAAGGCAAAAGUACAAGGAUAAGAACGAGCGUCGAAAGUACAAAUCGGGUGAUGAAACAUGAUAAGUGCUGCUUGCAGCAAUACCGAUGAAAUGACUUGAAUCCAAAUCAGAGUGGCGUAAUGACUAUUGGUAGCUGGGAUCAAGCAUAGCCUGAAUGAAUACUGUUAGCAAUAGUGAUGGGGAGUGUCAGAUUAUUUCUGUCCUAAAUGAACUUUGUCUUCAUCCAUAUUUUGAAAUUAUCAUAUCAAAUGAAUGCGUUGCUUACCUAUAAUUUUUCUUGAUGCACUUAAACUAAUAAUUUGAAUAAAUUAAAGGCUUAUUUUCAAAUGAAUGCGUUGCUUACCUAUAAUUUUUCUUGAUGCACUUAAACUAAUAAUUUGAAUAAAUUAAAGGCUUAUUUUUGACAUUUUAAAUUAAAGGGAGAAGUACACUAUCAGUGCCAUAACUUAUGUACGACGCUCACUUUAAUGUCAAAAGUUUCAGUCGGAUUACUUAAGUGUCAAAAAUUUUGAAAAAUGCUCAUUUCAAUGCCAACGCCGAUCAGGUUGGUCGGAAAUCCAAUGUGACAGUUUUUUUAUUAAUAUUUGAAGCCGACGUGGAUCGCCGGAGAAUAUAAUCAGCAUGGAAAUAACAAAACGACACUGUUUAGCAUCUUUUCUCCCAAAUAAGAAACCAUAAAUCCCCAAAUUCGAGCAGAAUCGGAAAUUGAAAACCUUAAAUCCCCAAUUCAACCAAGUUGAGUGCAUAUUUCGAUUUUCUCCCAAAGUUAUUAGCUCGCUUUUGCAAAUGAAGGGCAGAAGCUUCAGCAGUGGCUCACAUUCCUAUAAAAAAAAAGUGAAUUAGAUGGUGAGUGUUACUAUUAUUGUGGGUUACCGAGUCCAAGAAGAACAUCUUGGACUCGGUUGAAUCCCGGGAGAAGAUUCCAUGGGUGCGGUAGAUAUAGAGAAGGCUUGAAGUCCAAAUAUUUCAAAUGGGUUGAUAGUAAAUUCUCUGAUCGAGCAACAGAGGUAAUCCUGGAGUUAUUUGAAGGCCGAAAUCAACCUCCACCUGCAUUAAUGGACGAGUUGGAGGAUGUCGACUCAAUGUAAGCUCAAAUGAAGGGUUUAACAUCUCUGGUCGACCAUUUGAAGAAGGAUGUUUCAAGGCUAAAAAUCAAAAGAAACUUUUAUCGAGUGUUGAUUGUGUUCUUAUUUUCUUGGGUAGUUUAUUCAAAUGUGAAGUGAGUAAUGAGAAAAAGUUUGUAUGUCUACCAUAGUCGAAAACAUGGAAUAUGCACUUGUAUUAGAUUAUUUAUAAGUAAGAUGCGUUUUUGGUUUGUUGCAAUUUUUGUAUGAAGCAGAAUGUUUUGUUGUAAUUUAUAGUAGAAAUGCAAGGUUGGAGUUGGAAUGCAUUAGUUGUGAGCACUUAAAAGUUUUAUUAUUUAAUUGUGUAUUGUCAAUGUUUGUUUUGAUUAGUUUUUACUUCAGAUAUAAUGGUUUGCUUACUGCAUUUUUUAUUUGGUAAUGGUUUGCUGGUUUGCUGCAAUUGCAAACCACGGCAAAAUGAAAAGGUUGGAGUUAGAAUGCAUUAGUUCUGACCACUUAAAAGUUUUAUUGUUUAGUUGUGUAUUGUCAAUAUUUGUUUUGGUUAGUUUUUACUUUAAAUAGAAUGGUUGCUGCAUUUUUAUUAUUGUAAUGGUUUGCUGGUUUGCUAGUUUGCUGUAACUGCAAAUCAUGGCGAAAUUAAGAGAUGGUGGCAAAUUCAUGAUUGACCAUUUCGGUGUCAAAAGUUGUAAAUAGUGAUCGCUUGAGUGCCAAGUUUUUAUAAAAGUGAUCAUUUAAGUGUUAAUCGCGAUUACAAAGUGAUCAGUUCUGUUGCACAAGUUGUAAAUAGUGAUCACUUGAGUGCCAAGUUUCAAACUUGCACCAGUUGUGGUACAUCUUGCAUCUUGUUGCACUAGGGCAUCUUGUUCUUGCACCAGUUGGGUUGCUGGUGCAUCUUCUUGCACUAGCCCAUACAAGUGUUGAUGCAACAAGAUGUAUCAGCACCUAAAAUUGCAUCUUGUUCUUGCACCAGCACAUACAACUAGAACCCCAUAAAUAGCAGCCACAACUUCAACUAGUAAUACUAUAUGCACACAUCUAAAUUUAAAAAUAAUAUCAACUUCAUAAGAACAUUGUACCAAUAGCAAAAAAAUAUACAGUAUAACUGAUAACUAUCUUGCUAUCAUUACUAGCCGAAACCAAGCUAAAAGAAAAUAAUAGAAAUAGUUAUUGUCAUUGACAUUGAUUAAUUGUUUACAAAAGAAAAGAAAAACAUGUUUAACUUCACUCCCUAAUCACUGAAGGUUCAGCACCUUCUUUAAAAAAAAAAAAAAACAAUGGCAAUAUGCAGUUAGCAACUAUCAUCAAUGAUAUAAUAUUCAUCACCCUCCUAAAAAAAGAAAAAAUAAAAAGAGAGACCAUGUCCACAACACCACAUAAAAAGAGACCAUGUCCAGCACUCUCCCAUAAGCCAAUUUGGACAACACCCCGAUCUCCUUUUCGAUUUGGAGUUUUGAAUUGAUUCAUAAUCCGAGCACUCUUUCGAACUGUAUGUGCAGUUUCUUUAACUAGGGUUUCUGUCACCUUUUUUCCCUUGUUCUUGACAACUGCUAUUUUUGUUCUAGCACGUGUCAUGUAUUGGUCCAUAUCAUUACUAUUGCUCCCAAUUGUUGGUUGAGAUGGAACUGGUGUUGGGUUCUUUUUGGAUGGCUGUUUUGCAGCUAUACCCGCUGUCUUCUUCUUUGGAGCACUCUUUUUUGGCUGCGCUAUUAAUUCUUGAGUUGGCCCACCUUGAGAGAGAAGUACCUCCGAAAUUCUCCUAGGUUACAAGAACAUAAUGAUAUUGUCAACCAAAUGAAUUGAAGUACAACAAAUUAAAUGUAUGAGGCUUACAAAUUUUUCAUUCAAAAUAGUCAUUCCAGUAUGUUCAUCUGUGUAAAUCCCAUAACCAUAUUGCCUUAAUAUUUUUCCAAGAGCCCCUCUUGUUCGCCGUGGUGCAUCAUUUUCAGUAGUAAUUGGGGGAGCAACCUCUGCAACUUGUGCAGUUGGUCGUCUUCUCACUUAAGAAACACAUAACAAAUUUAAAUUUCAACCCAUAAAGACAAACAUAGUGAUGUACAACUUAUAGGAUAUUUUUUUCUCGUUUGCUCAACAAUGGACUCAGUUGUUGUUGUUGUUGUCUUGCCCGUUCCAGUCCCUGUUCCUGCACUUGAGCCUACAACAGGGCCUGUUUUUGACCCUUUAGUAGGCCUUACAAUAAUAUACUGUAUCAGGAUUAUGACCAACUACAAUGAUUUGAAUAAUUAAAUAUCUACUCAUUUUCAUGGUGGGAAACAAACGGAGAAAACUUCUCAAAUUACAAGUGCAUGACAGAGAAAAAGCACAAGAGAAGCCAGUACACCUGGUUUACCAUCAAACUCUAUCGAAUAUGAAUUGAAAAGUUACUGAGGUAAAGAGGAAACUUACCUUACAGCAGGGCUUUCUAUUUGCCCUUCAGUAGGCAUUACAGCAGGGCCUUCUGUCCUCUCUUCAAUAGGCCUAAGAAGAAGCUCUUCAGUAGGUUCUGUCCUUGGCAUUAAAUCAGCUUGCUGUUGAUGCUGCUUUUUCAGCUCACAACCUUUCUUAUUAUGCCAUUCCUUAGGGCAAUAGGAGCAUUUUAUCUUUGCCCUAGUCCUACUCAUCAUUUGACUUGAUGCCUCUUCCUACUGAAUUCUUUGUCUCCUCUUUGGCAUUCCUAUUUGCUUCUUUAAUGGCAAAGGUAGAGAGCUUUCAUGAUUUGUUGGCUCCCAAAAUUUGCCGCUUUUGAUAAGCUGCAUCAUGAAUUGAUAUGAAGCAAGGUAUGAGUUUUUUUUUUUGUAUCGAUCAUCUAAGUAAUCAUUUGGGUUUUCUUACUUCAUCUGAAUAGCACAAAUGGCAUGGGCAUAGGGAAUUCCAUUCAGUUGUCAGGCUCGGCGUGAACAUUUUCUUCUAUCCAAGUUGACAACAUAUUUAUCCUGAUUUUGAAUAAUCUCAUAUCAAUUAUCUCCAUUCUAAACUGGAUGACAGAACCUAUUAGCAGCAAUGUUUGCAUCUAAUCUCUUCACAAUCCUAGGGCCAUAAUCUCUAGUCCAUUUCGUAGCCUCAUCUCUUUGCCUAUGCAGUCUAGUCAUCACCAUAACUCGAAUAUCAUCAAGUAUGCUGAUGAUUGGUUUGCACCUAGCCUCUAAAAUUCUGCCAUUAAAAGCUCCACUAAGGUUGUUAUCAAUGAUAUCGCAUUUGAACUCUUCGCUGAAGAAGGCCCGACAACAGUGCUUAGCUUAUGUCUGGAAGAGUGCAUCAAAACCUUCAUUUGUCAGUUGUAACAAUCCUUGUUUAGCUAAUCUGAAAUUAGCCAUGUUGGUACUCUUUGCUAUCUGCCGGAACUGCUUCUGUAGCCUAUCUCCUUUGAAGUUCCUUGACCAGUUUACAUAUAUAUGCCUCGCGCACAUUUUAUGCUCAGCAUGUGGCAUCAACUCAACCAAUGUAGGAAUAAGUCCCUACAAAAAUUCAAACCAACAAAUACAAGUCAGGGAAAAUAUGUAAGUGAUUAAUAUUAAAAGGGAGUGAAUUAAUUAACAAUGAAAUUACCUUCUGUUGGUUGCUCAUGAAUGCCCAUCCUCCCCAUCGGUUAUCUCAAGGUCAGCCAUUAAAUUUUUUAGGAAUCGGAACCAAAUAUCCUUGUUCUCUAUCUUCACCACCACCCAAGCUAUCGGAAACAUUUGAUUAUUGGCAUCUCUCCCCACAGCAGCCAACAACUCCCCCUUGCAUAAACUCUUUAAAAAGCAUCCAUCUAAUCAUAUAACUCUUCUACAACCAGCUAAGAAGCCUCGUUUGCAUGCAUCAAAACAGACAUAAAAUUUAUCAAAUCUAGGCCCAAUAUCAGGAAGUGGUCUCUCCACAACCUUUAUAUAUACCCUACUAGAUGGGUUUUGAAACAUGCAUUUGCCAACAUAAUCUCAUAUCUGUGCAUAUUCUUCCUUAUACCCACCCAUCAAUAUUUUCAUCACUCGCAUCUUAGCUCUCUUGUAUUGAUUCAUUGACACAUUAACCCCUACUUGCUCAUUCACUAACUGUUGAAAUUGAGGACUCUUGAUUUCUGAUAUUGCUUUGAUAGUAUUGAAAAAAUGUUUUGAUAGCCGCAUACUUGUUAGCCUUUUAUUAUUAAAGAUAAUUGGAUAAGUAUAUUCCUCCUAGAAUGACCUAAUAUGGAAUGACCCCUUCUUACUCAGCGCGCCAUAGAGCUUCCAUGAACAAUUGGGUUGUGAGUACUUAACUCUUACAAAUUCCUUCGUGUUUCUAAUGAAUUGAACACUCCUCUGUUCACCAAUGGAGUUCUUCACAACAGCUUCCUUGAACUGUUUGGUAUCGUCAAAUCUCAUGUCCGCAGACAAAACAUGUUUAUCAAUAGUCGGAUCAUAGCAAUGGUACUUACUUUUUCUUCUACGAGCAGGUUCUUCAUCAUCAUUGUCAAGUUCAUUCUCUGAACCAGCAAUUUCAUCGCCGCAGCUUUCUUCAUCUUCACUUUUAUGACCUUCAGCUGGAGCUCCAUCCCUAUUUACUAGCUCGGGCCUUUUUGCUAAAGCUACAAGUUUUUUCCUCAGAAAUUCCCUUUGCUUUUGUCUUGACUGUGCAAGUUCAUCAUCAUCUUCGUCACUUGAUAAAUUUACUAAAGCCAAAUAUUCAUCUUCCGAUUCACAAGAUAAAGCAAUUUCCCAUUCUAAUCCAAUGAAGUCUUCAUUGCCCACAUCUUCACCCAAGAUUUCAGGACAUCUCCCUAUUUAUUCAUCUCUAUCAAUAUGACUUCUCUCCCUCUCAUUUUGCCUUUCGUCUAACAUAAACUCAUCCCCGACCUGAUUACUUGCUUGAAUAGGAUCCCUCACUUCUUUAGUAGUGGUCUGCUCAUCCUCAUCCUCAUCCUCAUCCUCACCAUCACUAUAAUACUCAACAUAUACCUUAGCUUCUUUGCCGUGAAGAUAAUGGUAAAUGAUAUUCUUAAUACCAUUAUCGUCAUUAAAAAAUCUCAAACCAUCAUUCAAUUCCUUCACAGGAACACAGUAAUGUAGAUUUUGCAUUUUGCAUUGUAAAAAAUACACCAAAUCCCUUAGAAAAUCAAUAUAUAAUGGCUUCCGAACAUUGACAUAGAUAGUACAUUCAUUUCCACCAGUAUAUUCCCAAUACUCGGUGCUAAUAAGAAACUCUCCACCAUAGCAAACAAUGAUGCCUACCUGAUUCGCGUCCAUGUCGAUGCUACACCCAAUGAAAAUAAAAAAAAAAAGUUAUUACUUGUUGGGACCACAUGACAGAAUCAACAACUUCACAUGUAGGUCAUUGUCAUUUUGUUGUCAAGAAACAAAUGCGACUAAUCUCCCUAAUUCAGUCCCCCACUGUUUCCCCCACAGAAGCAGUCCAAUUAAUUAAACAAAUUCAGUCCCACCACUGUUUCCCUUCGAGUUGAGCCCAAUUUUCCCUUUCGCGCCCUAUUUUUCUAUUUGGUCCCCACAAAAGAAAGCGAACGAACGACGGAACUCUCAAUUUUUCUGUUCGGUCCCCACCACUUUCCCCCUGAGCCGAGCCCUCAAUUUGCCCUCCACGCCCUAACUUGCCCGUCGGAACCCUAAAUUUUUCACUAAAUUGACCCAUGUAGAGAACAUGACAAACCUGAGUGAGCGAGAGUUGGGGACGUAGCCAGCGAAUGAACGUGAAUGACGGCGCAACUACAGCAGUGGCCGAGUGACGAUGGGCGAGCAAACGACAUUGGGUGAGCGAGCUACGGCCAGUGGUGUUGAGCAAGAAUCAUAUACGAACACCAUUUUUGGCCGUAGUGAAUCCACUCCUCUAUUUUACAAAACGACGAUCAUUUUGUAAGUGAUCCACGUGGAAUGGUAAAACAACGUCAUUUCUUAUGAAGAAAGGAAAACAGCGUUGUUUUAUGCCAUCCAUCGUGGACAGUCUUAAGAAUUGUUGAUUUUUUAUUUUAAAUAUAAAAGCCAAGUAAUCAUUUUGGCCGGAAUCUCUCGCCGGUGGCACCAAAGUAAUCGUUUUUUCUCCGAUUUGGCACUUAAGUGAUCUGACGGAAAAUUUUGGCACUAAAGUAAGCGCCGUACACAAGUUAUGACACUGAUAGUAUACUUCUCCCUAAAUUAAAUGAUGCUUGAGUUCACUGAGUUCUUACAUGAGAGAGAAAAUUUUCGCUUGAUCUAAUUUUCUGUACAUUUGUUUGGUGUAUUCUCACAUGCUCUUUGAGUCCUCCAUUGGUGGGAGACCAGCUGUGACUUUUGGUGGUAUGUAGUUACCAAUCCAUGUUCGAAUGAGUUGAUUACACUUUCUCCAGUGUUGGACCAAGUGCUCAUCGAAGGGCAUCUGGACAUCUUCACCUAGAAAACCGUCUUUGUCCUUCAUCAUGAGGGCCCGCCAAAAGUCUUGCAACCACUUGGAAUAGUUUUCUGGCCCGGUUAGGUGCAAACUAAUGAGUCGCAAUUUUGGUCAUUUGGCGGUCAACACGUAUAGGGGGUCACUAGGCUUCGAACGGCCACGAUUGGAAAAGGCAAAAAACCGGGCACAAAACUCGGGUAGGAAUUUGUCCCCAUACCCGAAUUGCAUGACUCAGCUACAUGACCCGAAUUGAAAAAUUUCGAGCAAGUGUUUGUUCCCAUACCCAGUUUGCCUGACUUUCUCGUCUACUCCGCGUUUAACUUGAUCCAACUUGAUGGCUAGGCUUGCCCCACUGCUGGUUGGUGGGCUUCAAUCAAGUUGGGCAUUGUUUUGGUAGCCCUAAACUCCUAGCAAUGAUGGAUUUGAGCUUGGUCCAAGGUACCAUAGAUAAGGUGUCCACUGGUAAGGAUGGCCCGCGAUGGGUUGACCCAGAAUGGGCUACCCCAUAUUAGAUUGAGCUUGGAUGGGCUACCAUUGCACGUAUUGGGCUUGAGUGGGCUAUUGUUGGGUGGCGGGAAUUUCCACAGCUGGAUCCUAAGUUUCUAAGGUAGCAGGCAUGACUUCUCCUGUAGGUUGGUCAUCCGAAGCAAAAGGCAAGUUCUGUAGUUGUUCGUGGUGGUAAAAGAAAUCUUCGCUUUUUUCUUUUUCCUUUUCAAAAAAUUGAUUCCCAUGCGAAGGAAUAACUCUAUUUUGCAAGUCAGAGUUCUGUGGUAGGCAAUCAAAUUGGAAGUUAAAUUAGGAGCUUGGUAGCUCUAAUACCAUGAAAGGAAGCAAAAAAGAGCAAGAAAGAUAAAGAACAACGUGACCGGAAAUCAAGCCUAUGUAAAUAUUGUACGAGAUGUACACAAUAAAUGACAAGAAUAUAUUCAAAUCAAACUUAAUCUCAAUCUAAUCCCUAAUUAAUUAAGUGCACAAUCAUAAUCAGAAAUGGAUUCUCGAGCAUAUCUUCUAAUACUUUCCUUAGUGGAGAGGAGGAGCUAAUAAUGGUCCAUGUCUAUUCAUUUGUUUCCACACUUGAUGUAUUAUUGAAAAGGAAAGAGAAUAUGCCUUUCCUGUCAUGGGAGCAAAGAGAGCAUUCCAUUUGCUCUUUUAAAAUAAAAAUAUUUGGUUGCACUAAUUAACCCUAAAACCAAGUUGACUCAAACUGUAGGAAUUCGCACCAUUCACAUGGAACAAUCUUUGGUUGCAUUCGUCUACCCUAAGAGAUGAUGAACCAAGUUGACUCAAACUAUAUGGAUUCAUACCAUUCACAUGGAAUAAUAUCUAAAUUUCAUAAAGUUCUUGUCAUGUGAUGUAUCUAUCACAUUCCGACUUCAACAAGAAUGCAAAAAUAACAUGGUUCUCUUAAAUGAUUGAAUUUGGAACAUAUUUAGCAACAACUUGUUAUAUAUAUAUAUAUAUAUAAUAAGUGAUUUGGCUAUUCCUUUUCCUCCUUUCCUCUGUUCUUACUGUCCGCUCCUUUUAUUUGGUUUUCUCUUCAAGCCCAUCUUUUUUUACCAAUCGACUUUCAUUUUCCUUUUUCUUUCUUUUUACACCAAUGGUUCCACUAUCACUUUUUAAGUGUGAACUUAUGAUAUCCCAACACCUUUGGCUUUUUUCUUCUUCUUUUUUCGUAUACUUUUUUCUUGUCUACUAAACUCUUGCGGAGCGCAGGACUCGCCCGAUGGCAUCUUCCCCCUAAAGCCCAUGUCACUAAGCACGUUACUCUCAUCCCUACACCACUAGGCACGUGGUCUAAUGGUGUGUACUUUUUUUCUUUUUUCUUUUUUUGUUCUUAAUGGUGUGUACUUGAUUAUAUACUACUUGAAUUGAGAUAUGGAAACUCGCCCCUUCUUUUGUGGUUCUCCUUCUCUGCUCUGAGUUCUGCUGUGCGCUCCUCUACAACUUACCCAAACCUCGAAGAACAGUGAAACUAUGGCUACCGAACCUCCCCUUGCCUUUCUUCAAUCACGAGUGCUUCGUAUUCUCUUAGCCAUUUCAUUACUCGUGCUCCAAACAGUCGCUCUAGCUCAAGCACAAGCAGUAUCUCUCGAAGA
rnacentral:lncRNA from 1 species